AUUCCCCUCUCCUCCAUCUUCUUCAUCUUUCCCUCCUCUUCUUUCAGCAAAACUAUUACCUUCUUUUUUCUCAAUUCACAUUACACUAAUCUUAGAUUUUGUCUGAAAAGAAAAAUUUCAUAUCUUUGGGAUCUUCGCCUUUUGUACUGCGGAAGAGAUUCAUGAAGGGCUUCUUUCGACCUUUAACUAGGCUUGGAGCUCUUAGAGCCUAUGCGGCAUCGUUUAGUAGAUCAAAGCUGCGGCUUGAAGGGGUUAAGGAUGUUAUUGCUGUUGCUUCUGGUAAAGGCGGCGUGGGCAAGUCCACCACUGCUGUUAAUUUGGCUGUUGCCCUUGCUAACAAGUGCCAUCUGAAAGUGGGUUUGCUUGAUGCUGAUGUUUAUGGGCCAUCUGUUCCAACGAUGAUGAAGAUCAGCAAAAAGCCAGAUGUCACUGAAGAUGCAAAGAUGAUACCAAUUGAAAAUUAUGGAGUUAGGUGUAUGUCAAUGGGAUUUCUUGUGGAGAAUGAUGCCCCUAUUGUGUGGAGAGGUCCCAUGGUGAUGAGUGCUCUUGAGAAAAUGCUGAGGGGAGUUGAUUGGGGAAAUCUUGACAUACUUGUGGUGGAUAUGCCCCCUGGUACUGGUGAUGCUCAGAUAACUAUGAGUCAAAAUCUGCAAUUAUCAGGUGCUAUUAUUGUCUCAACUCCACAAGAUGUUGCAUUAAUAGAUGCUCGUAGAGGAGUUAAAAUGUUCUCAAAAGUUCAAGUUCCUAUUUUGGGAUUUGUAGAGAACAUGAGCUGCUUCAAGUGUCCACAUUGUGGUGAACCUUCUUUCAUUUUUGGGGAAGGAGGAACCCGAAAGACAGCUGCUUCAAUGGGUUAUAAUUUUAUUGGUGAGAUACCAUUAGAAGUGGAGAUCAGAAAAAGUGGCGAUGAAGGUGUCCCAAUAACAAUAUCAUCACCUGACUCUGUAGUCUCCAAGGCAUAUGGCGAUGCAGCACAAAAUCUUGUUAAGAGACUUGAGGAAUUGGCAAAGGAACAAAUUCUUCAACCAGAGAUUAAUCUAUGAUGAAAUGGUGCUGCUUGGUGAAUGGUUGCCUUAAAUAUCAUAAGAUGGUCAUGUUAACCAGUAUACUUGGUCAUGCUUUUGUAAUUGCACUAGGUACCAAAAUGGUAUGUUAUGAAUGCCAAUUUGAUUCAUUUAUCCUUUUCACUGUUUGAAGAAGAAAUUAAUGUAUUCUAGGCAUGAUUAGAUUGGAAGUACACUCAGUAGGUAGCAACUUUGAUAAAGUUGAAAUUGGGACUGUUUUGCACUAGAUGGACUGCAAAUUGCCAACUAGGGAUGCAAUGGUUUUGCCGAAGGAUGAGUUUGUUAAUCAAAUAAUGACCGUUUGUUGUAAUCACUUCAAAUGUUUAGCCGCAAUAUGGCAUAUAUUUGCUUUCUCCCUUUUUUUCUUUGUGGUUAUAUCACUGAUAGUGAAUUUGUAGUUAAUAUUGGGGACAUUAAUUUGAUAAUUACUGAAAACUAGAUUGUGAUGAGUUAUAGGAGAAAACCUUGUGUUUGGCCAAAAGCUGCAUCUGCAUGCAAGUUUGCAAUAUCCUUGUGGGAGCUGAAGGUGUUUGGAGGCUCCAGUCUGAAAUUCUGUGUGUAUUCUCUUGUUUAGCACGAUGUUGAUUGUGUGGUGUUGAGUUCAUUUCAACAAAAGGAGUAAUGCACCAUUCUUUUUCAACGGUUGGGAGGAAGAAAGGAAACUGGAAUCUGUGAC
rnacentral:misc_RNA from 1 species